rnacentral:rRNA from 1 species
GAGUUACAAAAGAACAUGUUAGACGAAUCAUCUGGAAAGAUGAAUCAAAGAAGGUAAUAAUCCUGUAGUCGAAAACAUAUUCUCUCUUGAGUGGAUCCUGAGUACGACGGAGCACGUGAAAUUCCGUCGGAAUCUGGGAGGACCAUCUCCUAAGGCUAAAUACUCUCUAGUGACCGAUAGUGAACCAGUACCGUGAGGGAAAGGUGAAAAGUACCCCGGAAGGGGAGUGAAAGAGAACUUGAAACCGUGUGCUUACAAGUAGUCAGAGCCCGUUAAUGGGUGAUGGCGUGCCUUUUGUAGAAUGAACCGGCGAGUUACGAUCUGAUGCAAGGUUAAGCAGCAAAUGUGGAGCCGCAGCGAAAGCGAGUCUGAAUAGGGCGUUGAGUAUUUGGUCGUAGACCCGAAACCAGGUGAUCUACCCUUGGUCAGGUUGAAGUUCAGGUAACACUGAAUGGAGGACCGAACCGACUUACGUUGAAAAGUGAGCGGAUGAACUGAGGGUAGCGGAGAAAUUCCAAUCGAACUUGGAGAUAGCUGGUUCUCUCCGAAAUAGCUUUAGGGCUAGCCUCAAGUGAUGAUUAUUGGAGGUAGAGCACUGUUUGGACGAGGGGCCCCUCUCGGGUUACCGAAUUCAGACAAACUCCGAAUGCCAAUUAAUUUAACUUGGGAGUCAGAACAUGGGUGAUAAGGUCCGUGUUCGAAAGGGAAACAGCCCAGACCACCAGCUAAGGUCCCAAAAUAUAUGUUAAGUGGAAAAGGAUGUGGCGUUGCCCAGACAACUAGGAUGUUGGCUUAGAAGCAGCCAUCAUUUAAAGAGUGCGUAAUAGCUCACUAGUCGAGUGACACUGCGCCGAAAAUGUACCGGGGCUAAACAUAUUACCGAAGCUGUGGAUUGUCCUUUGGACAAUGGUAGGAGAGCGUUCUAAGGGCGUCGAAGCAUGAUCGCAAGGACAUGUGGAGCGCUUAGAAGUGAGAAUGCCGGUGUGAGUAGCGAAAGACGGGUGAGAAUCCCGUCCACCGAUUGACUAAGGUUUCCAGAGGAAGGCUCGUCCGCUCUGGGUUAGUCGGGUCCUAAGCUGAGGCUGACAGGCGUAGGCGAUGGAUAACAGGUUGAUAUUCCUGUACCACCUAGUAUCGUUUUAAUCGAUGGGGGGACGCAGUAGGAUAGGCGAAGCGUGCUGUUGGAGUGCACGUCCAAGCAGUAAGGCUGAGUGUUAGGCAAAUCCGGCACUCAUAAGGCUGAGCUGUGAUGGGGAGAGGAAAUUGUUUCCUCGAGUCGUUGAUUUCACACUGCCGAGAAAAGCCUCUAGAUAGAUAACAGGUGCCCGUACCGCAAACCGACACAGGUAGUCAAGAUGAGAAUUCUAAGGUGAGCGAGCGAACUCUCGUUAAGGAACUCGGCAAAAUGACCCCGUAACUUCGGGAGAAGGGGUGCUCUUUAGGGUUCACGCCCAGAAGAGCCGCAGUGAAUAGGCCCAAGCGACUGUUUAUCAAAAACACAGGUCUCUGCUAAACCGUAAGGUGAUGUAUAGGGGCUGACGCCUGCCCGGUGCUGGAAGGUUAAGAGGAGUGGUUAGCUUCUGCGAAGCUACGAAUCGAAGCCCCAGUAAACGGCGGCCGUAACUAUAACGGUCCUAAGGUAGCGAAAUUCCUUGUCGGGUAAGUUCCGACCCGCACGAAAGGCGUAACGAUUUGGGCACUGUCUCAACGAGAGACUCGGUGAAAUCAUAGUACCUGUGAAGAUGCAGGUUACCCGCGACAGGACGGAAAGACCCCGUGGAGCUUUACUGUAGCCUGAUAUUGAAAUUCGGCACAGCUUGUACAGGAUAGGUAGGAGCCUUUGAAACGUGAGCGCUAGCUUACGUGGAGGCGUUGGUGGGAUACUACCCUAGCUGUGUUGGCUUUCUAACCCGCACCACUUAUCGUGGUGGGAGACAGUGUCAGGCGGGCAGUUUGACUGGGGCGGUCGCCUCCUAAAAGGUAACGGAGGCGCUCAAAGGUUCCCUCAGAAUGGUUGGAAAUCAUUCAUAGAGUGUAAAGGCAUAAGGGAGCUUGACUGCGAGACCUACAAGUCGAGCAGGGUCGAAAGACGGACUUAGUGAUCCGGUGGUUCCGCAUGGAAGGGCCAUCGCUCAACGGAUAAAAGCUACCCCGGGGAUAACAGGCUUAUCUCCCCCAAGAGUUCACAUCGACGGGGAGGUUUGGCACCUCGAUGUCGGCUCAUCGCAUCCUGGGGCUGUAGUCGGUCCCAAGGGUUGGGCUGUUCGCCCAUUAAAGCGGUACGCGAGCUGGGUUCAGAACGUCGUGAGACAGUUCGGUCCCUAUCCGUCGUGGGCGUAGGAAAUUUGAGAGGAGCUGUCCUUAGUACGAGAGGACCGGGAUGGACAUACCUCUGGUGUACCAGUUGUCGUGCCAACGGCAUAGCUGGGUAGCUAUGUAUGGACGGGAUAAGUGCUGAAAGCAUCUAAGCAUGAAGCCCCCCUCAAGAUGAGAUUUCCCAACUUCGGUUAUAAGAUCCCUCGAAGAUGACGAGGUUAAUAGGUUCGAGGUGGAAGCGUGGUGACACGUGGAGCUGACGAAUACUAAUCGAUCGAAGACUUAAUCAAUUUUUAAA